AAACUGCUGGGAUUACAGGCGUGAGCCCCCGUGCCCGGCCCACAAUUUGUUCAUUUUUAAAUGUAAUAUUUGAAAAGUGUGCCUAUUAAAAAUCAUGUAAAAUUUUAUGAUUUUAGAGAGUAGUAACCGAUUUGUUCCUUUGUGAUUUUAUUUUGUGAACAUUCUUUAAACAGUGAACAGGACGUAUUUCAAAAAGUGUUUUUUAAGUUUUUAAAAACUUAGAAUGCAUUUUUCUAAUAAUAUGUAUAUUAUAUGAAGCAGUUUAUUCUGGUUAGUUCAUAAAAUUGUAUAAAGUAGCUGAAUUGUAUUACUGAUUAUCUGGGAAGUUUCAGGUCUUCAGACUUUUAUUUCUAUGGUGAAACUUAUUCUAAUUCCCAGCCCAAGAUUCUGGAACACAUCUCCCAUUAUGAAGUGGGCCUCAGGGUGGGAGUGGAAACAGAACCUCUUGUUCACACUCCACACCCUCAUUUUCCAGCAGUGAAGGUAGACUAUUAAGGCUCUCAUGUAAUCAAGGAUGGAGGCAAUGGGAUAAUGGAGAUUCUAGACAUUUGUUUCGUCACCAGCGAAAAUUAAAUGAAGACUCAGGAAUCACUACAGCUACAGGGAUGAGAAGGACAUUUCAGCAGCUACAGUGUGGUGAAAUAUGGCAGGCACACAGGCCUGAGACUGGAGUACGGCUUCCUACUUCCUCCUUCACAAAUCAAAGACAGCAAGCUCCAGGGUGCUAAUCCAACUGAGCUGCCACUCCAACUACAAUUAGCGAAGCUGGACAAGAAAGGAGAGAUGGAAAACCUGCCCCUAAAUGAGGUAUCCUCACCUCCUGUGCUUUCCAGUGAAGUGAAUUACAAAGGCGAGUUCAGAAAGAAAAAUGAACUGGGGAAUCUGAAUCUUGCCUUGAGGCAUAGAACUGACCAAGAUUAGCAAAAUACCUCCCAGAAAUUACACAGAAUGCACAACAGAAUGAAUACUUGAGGAAUCAAAAAGCAAAAAGUAUAAAAUAUUAUUAUAUAAUGAAUAUCAUAAAAUAGAAGCGUCAUAAAAUGAAGCAUAUAAUGAAUAUAAUAUUUGAGAGUAGAAAAGUAACAUCUGUCCUUGUUUCAAACAAUGGUAAAUUACAUACUAGUGGCAAGGUAAAUAAAUACUAGAGAAGUCUUGGCUCAGAAAUCUAUUCAAGGUAGCAUAAUUAAGACUUCAGAGGAAUGUUAUUUUCUGAGCCAGGCAGAGAAGGGCAAGUUAUUUCAUUCAAUAUUUAACAAAUACUUGCCAAGAAUCGACUCCCUGGCAGUGAUGAGACUGGUGGCCUUACUUCUAAAAUGGAAGGUUGAGCUGAAUGAUCCUUGUUAGUGUGAGCCACUCACUACGUAAUCUAAUGCUGCGGGAAAUUUUGGUAGGUGGUAGCAAUAGGAGCAAGGUGUGGUAGGCAGAAUCAUCUGCAAAGGUAUCUGUGUGCUAAUCUCUCAAACCCACGAGUAUAUUAUCAUAGAUGGCAAAAGGAACUUCACAGAUGUGAUUACAUUAAGAACCUUGAGAUAAGAUUAUCCUGGAUUAUCAUAGUGGACCUAAUCUAAUUGUAUAGGUCUUUAAAAUUGGAGAUCUUUUUCUAGUGUGGUAAGAAGCAGGGAGAUAUGACUACAGAAGAAUGGUCGGCAAGAUGUAACCUUGAAGGCUUUGACGAUGGCAGAAUGGAACCACAAACUAGGCAUUAGAGGUGGCCCCUAGAAGCUGAAAAAAGAGCAUAGCUCUAAAUACACCUCGAUUUUCGCCCAGUGAAACCCGUGUUAGACUUCUAGCCUACAAAAAUGGAAGAUAAUAAAUUUGUGUUAUUCUAAGACACUAAAUUUGUGACUAGUUGUUAAAUAAGCAACAAGAAACAAAUGUAAAAGUGUUCAUAUAAAGAUAGUAUGGUUCAUGAUGCAGAGGGAGAAAAGCAUGGAAUAAUCUGAUGAAUAGAAGUUAAGGAAUCAGUAAGAAAAUUUGACUGAGGUGUAGGAUAUAUGUAGAAGAAUAACAGAAGAUGAAUUAGUAUAAAUAGGUUGAGUUAGGUUAUUUUGGUUAAGGCCUUGAAAUACGUGCAAUCUUUUUUUAUAAUGAAAAAUAAUAUUAAGUAUCAUUUGUUAUUGAGCAGUAUAUCAUUUGUAUUCAAAUAUUAGUCAAAGUAUUUAAUACUAUUGCUCUUUGUUUUUUGAGAAGUCAUUAAAACAUAAUUCACAAAAGUCAAAUAUAAGGCCUUAUGAAAUGAAUAAUAAUAUAGACUGCUUACUUAAAGAAUUAAUUCUGAUGAUUUCACAAGAGCUUAUGUCUUCUUUAUAAUUUUCAAAAUAAGAUUAACUCUGGGGAACUAUCAUUAUUUAAAUAAAAUUAUGACCAUAUGCAUACACAACCUAUAUGAUUAUUUGAAUUGC
ensembl:lncRNA